rnacentral:rRNA from 1 species
GACGAACGCUGGCGGCGUGCCUAAUACAUGCAAGUCGAGCGAGCUUGCCUAGAUGAUUUUAGUGCUUGCACUAAAUGAAACUAGAUACAAGCGAGCGGCGGACGGGUGAGUAACACGUGGGUAACCUGCCCAAGAGACUGGGAUAACCCCUGGAAACAGAUGCUAAUACCGGAUAACAACACUAGACGCAUGUCUAGAGUUUGAAAGAUGGUUCUGCUAUCACUCUUGGAUGGACCUGCGGUGCAUUAGCUAGUUGGAAAGGUAACGGCUUACCAAGGCAAUGAUGCAUAGCCGAGUUGAGAGACUGAUCGGCCACAUUGGGACUGAGACACGGCCCAAACUCCUACGGGAGGCAGCAUUAGGGAAUCUUCCUCAAUGGACGAAAAGUCUGAUGGAGCAACGCCGCGUGAAUUGAAGAAGGGUUUCGGCUCGUAAAGCUCUGUUGGUAGUGAAGAAAGAUAGAGGUAGUAACUGGCCUUUAUUUGACGGUAAUUACUUAGAAAAGUCACGGUCUAACUAC